GAUGAACGCUGGCGGCGUGCCUAAUACAUGCAAGUCGAACGAAACUUCUUUAUCACCGAGUGCUUGCACUCACCGAUAAAGAGUUGAGUGGCGAACGGGUGAGUAACACGUGGGCAACCUGCCCAAAAGAGGGGGAUAACACUUGGAAACAGGUGCUAAUACCGCAUAACCAUAGUUACCGCAUGGUAACUAUGUAAAAGGUGGCUAUACUACCGCCUUUGGAUGGGCCCGCGGCGCAUUAGCUAGUUGGUAGGGUAAAGGCUUACCAAGGCAAUGAUGCGUAGCCGAAUUGAGAGGUUGAUCGGCCACAUUGGGACUGAGACACGGCCCAAACUCCUACGGGAGGCAGCAGUAGGGAAUCUUCCACAAUGGGCGAAAGCCUGAUGGAGCAACGCCGCGUGGGUGAAGAAGGUCUUCGGAUCGUAAAACCCUGUUGUUAGAGAAGAAAGUGCGUGAGAGUAACUGUUCACGUUUCGACGGUAUCUAAACAGAAAGCCACGGCUAACUACGUG
rnacentral:rRNA from 1 species